rnacentral:rRNA from 1 species
AAAUUGAAGAGUUUGAUCAUGGCUCAGAUUGAACGCUGGCGGCAGGCCUAACACAUGCAAGUCGAACGGUAACAGGAAGCAGCUUGCUGCUUCGCUGACGAGUGGCGGACGGGUGAGUAAUGUCUGGGAAACUGCCUGAUGGAGGGGGAUAACUACUGGAAACGGUAGCUAAUACCGCAUAACGUCGCAAGACCAAAGAGGGGGACCUUCGGGCCUCUUGCCAUCGGAUGUGCCCAGAUGGGAUUAGCUUGUUGGUGGGGUAACGGCUCACCAAGGCGACGAUCCCUAGCUGGUCUGAGAGGAUGACCAGCCACACUGGAACUGAGACACGGUCCAGACUCCUACGGGAGGCAGCAGUGGGGAAUAUUGCACAAUGGGCGCAAGCCUGAUGCAGCCAUGCCGCGUGUAUGAAGAAGGCCUUCGGGUUGU